UAUUUUAAAAUUGUCAUUUCAAAAUCGAUAAUCAGAUGGCGCUGAGUGUAAAUGUCAUCAUUUCAUUAGAUUAAUUGAUUGUUUUGACAUUUCUAUUUAAUAGACGUCUUGUUUACAUAAGUUGUGGAAACUCGUGAGCAAUUAGUGAAUAUUUAUAAUUUUCAAGUUUAAAUUUUCUUUGUGAAUUAUAUGAUAACAUUGAAAAUGAAUAAAUUGAUCAGCAUUAUUAGUGAUCCAGUGGAGGAUUUUGUUGGACGUAAACUUCCCUUAAUAAAAGAGGUUAUUGCGGUAUUUUUUUAUCAUAAAAAUAUUCUCAAAAUAAAUUAUAGAGGAAGUCUUCAAAAAACAUUUGAUAAACUCGAAAAAAGUGGUCUGAGGCUGGCAUCCCAACGUGUGGGAAAAAAUAUGCGUUAAAAAAAUUUGAAAGAAUAUUAGAAGAAGACAAAAAAUUACAAAAGUCUUCUCAACGAAAACGGUCUGCAAUACAGAAAAAAAAUGAAGCAAUUUUCCAUCAAAAAUUGGCAAAUUUAUUCGACAUUGCCAAAGUAAAUGUCGAAAAAUAUCUCACUGAUGAUAAAAAGUUGUUCUUAUCAGGUCAGCGAUCAAAAAGUAGAUUCGGUUUGAUUGAUAAUGUUGUUCAAUUGAGCUCAGCGGAAAAUACUGAAGAUGCUAUGGACGUAGAGCCUGUUGAUACAAACGAACCUGACGCUAAUGUGGCUCUAGCGAGUCAAAAAUCUUCAUUAUUUCAAUCUAACUUAUCAGCAACAACAUCGAGUCAUAUAUCUACUGAUGUAUCUGAUUUUGAAAGUCAACUUAGCCAACCGAAACAAACUCCAAAAUUGAAUGUAAUGACACCUGAACUCUGUGCUGCACUUGAUCGAUCACAAGUGACUCACAGGAAUGCCAUUUUUAUUUUAUCUGCUGCGUACAAAAGUGUGGGAAUCAAUCUGUCAACUCUUAAUCUGAGUUACAGUACAAUUUAUCGAACGCGAAUUAAAUUUAGGUCAGAUAUUGCUAAGGAUCUGAAAUCUGAAUUUCACAAAGACGACCGUUAUGUAGUGCAUUGGCACGGGAAAAUUCUCAGUGAUAUCGCAAGCACGAAAACUGUGGACCGUAUUGCAGUUCUUUUAUCAGUUUCUGGGGUUGAUCAACUUCUCGGAGUUCCAAAAGCUGACGACGGAACUGCUCUUAAACAAGCUUCUGCUGUUAUUGACACUUUGAAUCAGUGGGAAGUUGCUCCAUAUGUGAAAGCAAUGUGUUUUGAUACGCCACCUGUAAAUACUGGUAUUUACAAAGGAACUUGUGUUUUAAUCGAAAAAGAACUUGGCAGAAAAUUAGUAUGGCUUCCAUGUCGCCAUCACAUAAUGGAGAUUAUUUUGAGAGAUUUUGAAGUUCUUUGAAAAACGACAUCGAGUCCUAACGUUCCAAUAUUUGUUAGAUUUAAAAAAUUCUGGGACAAAGUUGAUCAAUCCAAUUAUAAAAGUGGAAUUGAGGAUGAAACUGUAGCAAAUACUUUAAUAGAAAAAAAAGCUGAAAUUGUUACUUUCAUUAACAACUGCCUACAGAUGUCACAGCCUCGAGAUGAUUAUCAAGAACUUUUACUCCUAUGUUUAGUGUUUCUUGAUAGUUCUUAUAAAAAAUCAUUUUCUUUUAAACGACCUGGUGCAAUGCACCAUGCGCGAUGGAUGUCUAAGGCUAUUUACAGCUUGAAAAUAUUUUUAUUUCGUGAUCAAGAAAAGAAAAAUUUACGCAGAAUUUGUAUUUUUGUAAUUUUAUUUUACAUCAAAGUAUGGUAUAAUUCAACUUCUGCUAUCCAAGCACCAAACAAUGACUUAGAAUUUAUGAAGAAUUUGAUUCAUUCUAAAAAAAUUAAUUCGCCACUGUUACAACGAGCUUGUCAGAAAAUGAUGGAACACUUGUGGUAUUUAAAUGAAGAAUUGACCACAAUCUCAUUAUUUGACGACAAUGUAUCUGUUGAUGUGAAAAAAAAAAAUUGUUGCGGCAAUUCAAAAUCGGGAAAGUUCUACACCAAUGCGUCAAAGGUAUAAGAUUAUGGAGCAAGAUCUUGAAUCUUUAUUGGAAAAAGAUUUGAGUGAUUUUGUCUCCAAAAAUUCGCUAGAACUAUUCAAAAAAUUCGAUUUGCCAUGCGAUUUUUUGGAGGAUGAUAUUUCAACAUGGUGCAGAAAUGAUUCAUAUAAGGAAUGUUCAGAAUAUUUCAAUACGUUAAAAGUCACUAAUGAUGUAGCUGAACGAGGUGUUGCUUUGAUUGAGGAAUACAACAAUUACCUCACAAAAGAUGAGCAACAACUGCAAUACUUAUUGCAAGUAGUUCGCGAACAUCGGCAGAGAUAUCCCAAUUACAAUAAGACAACUCUUCAGCAAGAUCAAUUUCAUGUAAAUGUGUAAAAAUCAUUUUUAGACAAAAAAAAUUCAUAUUUAUGAGAAGUAAUACAUUUUUAAUUUGUUAUGUUUUAAGUAAUUAAUAUAUAAUAUUUAUUAGUUGUGAAUACAUACAUGUUAAAUAAAUUCACUUGUCUGUUGGUCUGAAUUAAGAAAACGCAAAAACACGAAUAACUCUUCAGGCAAUGAAUAAAAUUAAACUUAUUUUUAUGUGCAAUCUAUUUAAAAAUGAUUUUUCAAUAAAAUUACUGCAAU